GGUAAAAUGGCCGAUUAAGGUGAUAAAUUGUAAAUUUAUUUAUGAAUUUUCUUUCUUUUACUA
rnacentral:tRNA from 1 species